rnacentral:rRNA from 1 species
UACAGAGGUCUCAAGCGUUGUUCGGAAUUACUGGGCGUAAAGGGCGCGUAGGCGGUCCUUCAAGUCAGGCGUGAAAGCCCCGGGCUCAACCUGGGAACCGCGCUUGAGACUGGCGGGCUAGAGUUCGGGAGAGGAUGGUGGAAUUCCCAGUGUAGAGGUGAAAUUCGUAGAUAUUGGGAAGAACACCGAUGGCGAAGGCAGCCAUCUGGACCGACACUGACGCUGAGGCGCGAAAGCGUGGGGAGCAAACAGG